CGCCGGAGCUGGCGCAGCGCCGCCCAGACCGCAGUGGCGCGGCCAAGCGAAGACGGUCUGGGGGCAGGGCUGUGCAGACGCCGUAAUCAGAUUCCCGCGCGGCUUGAACAAGUGACGUGUCCGUCGAGAGAUGAUGCAGUUCACUUUAAAAUUAAUUUAAAAAGCCCUUGAUUACUUCAGAGCAAAUUACCUCUCCUUCUAGCAGGUUUCCGUAGGCAAGAGCAAAGUUAAUCACGUAUAACUAUGAUGUAUGUGGCCAUCAGAAAUGUGAGCGAAGGGUGAACACGACUGUCUUGGAGAACACAGCCCCGACGUUCUCCAGAUCCAGAGGAGUCAAAUGAAAUUUGCAUUCAGCUUCUAGACAAAAGAGUAUCAGUAACUAGCACAUCAUUAGUACAUGAGUAGACCUUUAAGAAAUAUCUAAAGACCAGGGGAUGAUAAAGCCUAUUAAAAAAUAUUUGAGAGAUAAAAUGUCUUUUAGUAUAGUUAUAUUGAAAAUAUUUUUGUCUAUAAAAUUUUACUAUUUAAGAAAGGAAAUAAAAGUCCAUUAAAUAUUGAGGUAUAAACUAUUUAAAAAACUAACUGAAGUCUCCUGUACUUAUUUAUAAAGAGAAGAAAUAAUACUGAUCAGGUAUAAUAAGAAAGAUUCUGGGAAUACAAGAAAACCAUCUAAUUUUCCCAACUACUGCAAACAGGCCUUGUGAAAAUUACAUGUUUUAAAGUGAUGACACAUUAUUUGCAACAUUUUCAAAUUUACCAAUAAAAUUCAGCCAACAAACCACAUGACAGUCUUAUAUAGCUAGACUAGUAAUGAAGUCAGAAUACUUUUUAUUUUAAAAAUCCCGGAAGGCCUGUUCAGUCCAAUCUCUACGGCUCCGUGGCCGGUUCCAC